rnacentral:rRNA from 1 species
GUGGGGAAUAUUGGGCAAUGGGGGAAACCCUGACCCAGCGACGCCGCGUGAGGGAAGAAGGCCUUAGGGUCGUAAACCUCUGUUGUGUGGGAAGAAGAGCGUGACGGUACCACACGAGGAAGUCCCGGCUAACUACGUGCCAGCAGCCGCGGUAAUACGUAGGGGACGAGCGUUGUCCGGAUUUACUGGGCGUAAAGGGCGCGUAGGCGGUCAUUUAAGUCAGCUGUGAAAUGGUGCGGCUUAACCGCAUCAUGCGGUUGAAACUGGAUGACUGGAGUGCUGGAGAGGAAAGUGGAAUUCCCAGUGUAGCGGUGAAAUGCGUAGAUAUUGGGAAGAACACCGGUGGCGAAGGCGACUUGCUGGCCAGCAACUGACGCUGAGGCGCGAAAGCCAGGGGAGCAAACGGGAUUAGAUACCCUUGUAGUCC